CUUAAAAAAAGAAAAGAACAAUAGAAAUGAAAAGAGAGAAUACAUUGGUCUAACAUGAACGUGUUUUUUCUCUGAACAAUCGCUUUCUUUCCAAACGCGCGUCUUGUAAACUCUCAAACACAAUUCUUUCCUUCUCAUCUCCCUCACGCGACAACAACAACAACCCACUCGAUGAUUCCAUUUUUCAUGUAAUAACAACAUCAAAAUUCUCAAGCUCACGCUUAGAUUCAAGUUUCAAUUUUUCCGAUUCAGCCAAUGUUUCGGUUCAUGCUCUACGUUUUGGUUCCGGUUCAGGAUGAAAUUAAUGAUGGAGGAGGUUAAGUUUUGGUGCUGAAUUUUCUAUGAUUUGUGUUCAUGGAAAGACUUAGAUUUUCACGGUAGUCGUCAACUCAAGAUGAAAAGCACGACAAAUAUAUAAACAAGCAUGCAAAGAUAACUCAAACAAGCAAGUAGGUAUAUAAGACAUAAGCAAGCAUUCAUGGAGUGAUAAAUAGAGUUUGAGGCUUACCGAUCGGAGACCCUCCGAUGGUUCUUCAAUGGCGGCGCAAAUUCGAUACGGUAAACAAUUCUUUACGUUCGCUUGUUAACUCCUCCAGUUAAAUUCCUCUUCAUUUCUUCUUCACCUCCUUUCUUUUCACCCAUUUGUUUUCUUUUUGUUGUUGAUUUUUUUGGGUGCUUGAAUCAUGAAAAACUAUUAUGUGAAGAGUGGUGAAGGUUUAUGCUCAAGUUGAUUGAAGCUUCAAUGAGAAGCUUCAACAACUAUGAAUUUGAGCUCUAGUGAGGGAAGGUUGAAAAAUGAAGAACGGAGAGUUAAAACUUGAGAGAAAAUGAAGAAUGAGUGUAAUCAAAAAGUGAAGAAGAAGCCUAGUGAGUGAAUGAUUAAUGUUUAUAUAGACUAGGUGAGGGAUGACUAGAGGUUGAAAAUCAGUUAGAAAAUUGUUGGGGUUGUUUUGGGCACUUUGGACAAUUGCCCAAAGUAGUUAGAAGUUAGUUUGUGGAAGUUUAAGGUAGUUAGGGUGGUUAAGGCAUGGAUGUAUGUGAAUUCACAUGCAUGUGCAUAUGCUGAAUUUUUAGUGAAUAUGAAGGAAAUUAGAUGAAUUUAUAUGGCACCACUUGAAUACAUUCUUGACCAUUUACAUGGUAUGCAUGAAUGAAUUAUAUAUGCAUUUGGAUUGAUGUUCAUGGAUGAAAUGAUGUAUUACAUGCAUGCUGAAUUUUUCUUUUUAAUGCCCAUGAUUUAUGAGUUUUUACUUGUUGUAUAGAAAUGAAAUGAAAGUGACACAUAAUACGGAAUUUAUUCAUGGUAUAUGCAUUACAUGCAGAAUUUUUAUUGAAUUAGUAUUGAAUUUGACUUUUUUGGAUGGUUUUGCAUAUGAUGUAAGUAUGUGUUCAUGUGUUGAAUUUUAGAGAUGAAUGAUAUGAAUUUAAGAUGACUUUUCAUGUGUAUUUUGAUGCUCAUGAUGCUGAAUUUUUGUUUUGUAAGUGCUGAAUUUUAAUUCCUAACUUAUUUUUAUUGUUUUCUUUGAAACAUGGUGCAUGGUAAUGGAGCAUGAACAAGCAUGGUCAAGAAUGGAGUAUGAAUGAAGACUAUUGAAGAGCUUGGAAUCAUUUUUAUUCCUUUGUAAUAUGUUUGUAAUGACAUAAAGUGAUGUAAAGUGAAGUCAUAUAAUUGUAAAAAUAAUAUUUAGUGACUUUUGAACCUUAUGCACAUGAAUUGAAAGGCUGUGAAUAAAAAGAGGGUUUUUUAGCUCAAAGUGUAUGUAUGGAAAUGAUUUCCAAUAAAUGCUUAGAGAAUUUACCCAUGAA